GCCCCCGUGGCCGAGAGGUUAAGGCGACCGGCUUAUACCCGGUUGAGGCAGCGGCCAGAUAAGCCGCUCACGUAGGUUCGAAUCCUACCGGGGGCACCA
rnacentral:tRNA from 1 species